GAGCUGGAGCAGCAGCGAUGUCUCCUGCUGGCCAGGCUGAGGGAGCUGGAGCAGCAGAUUUGGAAGGAGAGGGAUGAAUAUAUCACAAAGGUCUCUGAGGAAGUCACCCGGCUUGGAGCCCAGGUCAAGGAGCUGGAGGAGAAGUGUCAGCAGCCAGCAAGUGAGCUUCUACAAGAUGUCAGAGUCAACCAGAGCAGGUGUGAGAUGAAGACUUUUGUGAGUCCUGAGGCCAUUUCUCCUGACCUUGUCAAGAAGAUCCGUGAUUUCCACAGGAAAAUACUCACCCUCCCAGAGAUGAUGAGGAUGUUCUCAGAAAACUUGGCGCAUCAUCUGGAAAUAGAUUCAGGGGUCAUCACUCUGGACCCUCAGACCGCCAGCCGGAGCCUGGUUCUCUCGGAAGACAGGAAGUCAAGUGCAGAACCACAGACGGCUUCGGCUGUGCCUAGGGCAACAGCCAACCUAGGAGCCAGCGGGCUUUCGGGGAAAAAAAAGAAAAAGACAUCUAAAAUAAAAUGUUUAAACUGUUUCAAAAUAA
rnacentral:misc_RNA from 1 species